rnacentral:tRNA from 1 species
GCUAAAAGUAGCAAAACCUGAUACUGCAAAAGCCC